rnacentral:rRNA from 1 species
AUUGAACGCUGGCGGCAGGCCUAACACAUGCAAGUCGAACGAGUGGCGGACGGAUGAGUAAUGUCUGGGAAACUGCCUGAUGGAGGGGGAUAACUACUGGAAACGGUAGCUAAUCCCGCAUACCAUCGGAUGUGCCCAGAUGGGAUUAGCUAUUAGGUGGGGUAACGGCUCACCUAGGCGACGAUCCCUAGCUGGUCUGAGAGGAUGACCAGCCACACUGGAACUGAGACACGGUCCAGACUCCUACGGGAGGAAGAAGUGGGGAACAGUGGACAAUGGGGGCAAGCCUGAUGCAGGCAUGCCGCGGGUAUGAAGAAGGCCUUCGGGUUGUAAAGUACUUUCAGCGGGGAGGCGUUACCCGCAGAAGAAGCACCGGCUAACUCCGUGCCAGCAGCCGCGGUAAUAC